rnacentral:sRNA from 2 species
CCCCUACCUACCUACCUACCUACCUACCUACUCGAUAUCCGAUCGAUUGCUAAUGGAAUAGAGAAUGCAAGUUACCUACCUGUCUAUCUGAUUGAUAUUGAUUGAUUGUUAAUAGAAUAGCGAAUGCCAGCUAGCUCCCUUUCUAUCUACCUACCCACCUCCCUACCUGUCUGCCUGCCUGCUAGAUAUUCAGUCAAUUGCUUAUGAAAUAGAUAUUCAAUCAAUAGAGAAUCCUAGCUAUCUAUCUACCUUUCUACCUACCUACCUGUCUGAUCAAUAUCCAAUCAAUCUCUAUGAGCAUAAACAUCACCAUCUAGCUACCCACCUACCAAUCAAUGCUAGCUUGCUAUCUGACUAUCUAUCUACCUGUCUGCCUAUCUGCCUGCCUAUCUACCUACCUGCUUGAAUGAAUGAUAUCCACUGAUGAUAUAUGCCGAUAAUAUAUCAAUGAUAUAGCGAUGAUGAUAUAUGUUGAUAUAGAUAUAGCGGAUAUAGCCAUGAUAGCUAGCGAUGAUAUAGCGAUGAUAUCUACGAUGAUAUCUAGCAAUGAUGGCUAGCAAUGAUAGCUAGUGAUGAUAUUAAUAUGAC